CAGUGACUUCCCCUUCUACUCUUCGCCAUUCAUCUCGUCCUCACCACCCAGCGCCGUUCCGCCUCGAUCUUCCUCCUCCUCUACCUCACCUUCAAGCGCUGCUCCUCCUCCUCUUCUGCAUCCACCUCACCACCCAGCCACUUCCCGGCUGCCAAAGGUGGCGCGGGAAAUUCUGGCAGCAUCGGUGUGUGUGUUUGCUGUUGCGGCUGGGGCGGCGGCGGCCUGCUCAUCGGCUCACGGGGCCGGAGCGGAGUACCGGUGCAGUGGUGGUGGAGCCCCUCCCGGUGGGUGACUGGGAGCGACGGCGGGCUGCAGGGCUGGCAUGCAGUGGCGGCUCGGUUGCUCGCCAGAUCUGGCGGCCGGCCAGCACGCUCGGGGCUGGUUGGACCUAUGGCGGAGGCGAGGGAGGAGGUCUGGUGGUGCUGCUCGUCUGCCGGUGGCGGAAGGAUUCUGGGCGGCUUAGGUGGAAUCACCAAGUUUUCUCUUCCGUGAGCUCUUCUCUGUACCAUCGUUGGCCAUCUCUGUAUGAAUCAAUAUGGCAAAAUUAGCUCGACCUAUCUAUUAGGCUGGGCACACCAUGGCUGCACCAAAUUUUUUCUUUAUCUCCAUAUCGGCUCUUCUCCUUCUUUAGGAUUAUUAUAGCUCAAAUGGCAUCUCCAAUUUUUUCCGUGUAUCUUCGGAUCGGCUAAUUUUUUCUAUGUAUCUUCAGAUCAGCCCUCUCUCCUUCUUUAGGAUUAUUAGGACUUAGGGUAAGGCGUAGGCGCUGGGACAUUGGCGAGCGGCAGCAUGGUAAGGGUGCGGCGCCCUAGAGGUGGAAGAUGCGAUUGGAUCGUGGGUCAUGCGGCUAGGUAAGCUCGUUUUUUAUGUUCUGUCGCUCGUACGAUUUGGUCAUCUGAGCUGUGCGGGUUGGUUCUCAUCCUCGCUUCUCUCUCUGUUUUUUCACGGAGCCGCCAUCCUCCCAGCAAGGCUAGGACCGGCGGAGGCCGAGCGGCGGACUGAUUUGGUUUGUGGUGGUCGUCGGCUUGCCGGAGAGGGGCGAGGUGGUGACUGUCGACUUGCCGGAGAGGGAGGGGGAGGAGGAGGAGCCGCGGCACGGUCCGUCGGGUGAUGGGGCGCGAUUGUGGCGGUUGAGAGGACAGGAUAAAGAAGGGACGUGCGGCUGGUGUUUUCGCUAGCGAAUCGUUAUUUUACUUAGGUGCGGAUUGCGGGUUGAUUUUAUGUAAACCGAGGGGCUUUUUUGAAAAACUGCCACGACGACGGACGACCGAAACCCUAUUCUCUUUAUUAUUACUAGUACAAAUGCCCGUGCAUUGUAACGGGCUUGAGCUGUGAUUUAUUAAUCAACAUGAUAACUCACACCGGUGGGACAUGGAACCAUGUUUUACAAAGCUUAUUCAUAAAACCUUCCUUAGUUAAAUAUGGGCAACUUUGUUUACCAAACGACACACCCAGCAAACCUUAUACUUCGCAAAGUCCUAAAGAAGUUCUUUGUCAUUACACACCAUUAUUUAUAUCUAGUUCUAAUAAAUGUCUAUAUUAAUGUUGCACUGAUUAUUGCUUCUCGGUUGAAUUUUUUCGUUAAGAAGCCAAUUUGGCAUUCUUCUGAUUGAAGAGUAGUUCAUGGAAUAGUCUCCGAAUCAGUUUU
rnacentral:lncRNA from 1 species